UAUCUACCUGCACAGGUGGAAGAUAUGUGGGUCUGGAACUCCGGUAAACAAAAAGAUCCUAUUGGGACCUCUAUUUGGUUGACUUUGUGUCACUUUUUACUAGGGCUAAUUGUCUAAUGUCUCUUUCCACUAGUGUAUGCCUCCUUGAGAACAUGAACCUUUAAACAACAACAACAACAACAACAACACCACCACCACCACCACCACCACCAAGACAAAGUCCUGUCUGCUCUCCCAGGCUAGAGUGCAGCGUGCAAUCGUGCAAUCGCAGCCUACAGUAAGGUAGAAUUCCUGGCCUCAAGCUAUCCUCCUGCCCCACCGUGGCCUCCUGAAGGGCUCCGAUUACAGAAGGGAGCCACUGCACCCAGCCAAACCUGUCUUUUAUUCUGUAUCUCCUGUGCCCAGAGCAGUCCCUGGCCCUGAUAAGGGCUCAACAAAUAUGUUGAGUGAAUGAACAAGUACAUUCAGUAGUGUAGGGAUUGAUA
rnacentral:lncRNA from 1 species